ensembl:snRNA U6 U6 spliceosomal RNA
GUGCUCACUUUGGCAGCAUGUACACUAAACAAAAUGGAAUGUCACAAAGAAAAUCCGCAUAGCCCCUGCACAAGCGUGGCACACAAAUUUGAGAAAAUAAUUUGAAAGUG